rnacentral:rRNA from 1 species
UACAGAGGGCCCAAGCGUUGUUCGGAUUCACUGGGCGUAAAGGGUGCGUAGGUGGCCGGUUAAGUCUGACGUGAAAUCUCCGAGCCUAACUCGGAAACUGCAUCGGAAACUAUCCGGCUCGAGGGUUGGAGGGGGGACUGGAAUACUUGGUGUAGCAGUGAAAUGCGUAGAUAUCAAGUGGAACACCAGUGGCGAAGGCGAGUCCCUGGACAACUCCUGACACUGAGGCACGAAAGCUAGGGGAGCAAACAGG